UUAGAAUAGGAAAGACGAAUGCCCAAUUUUUCAAGAACGAGAAAACGAAAAGCGCACUUUAUUUUGGAUUUUAAAGAGAGUAAACGAAAAACUUAACAAGGAGAAAAAGCAGUGGCAUCAUUGGCAAAUGUUAUAAAAAAUGUGGACUUUGACAGCGCUCUCUCGAAUCAAAGAGUUUCGGAUCAAUUUAUCCAUGGCUGGCUCGACAACGACUGAACGAUAGAGCGUAAGCGUACGUGUGAAGUUAGUUUGCACAAUUGUGCUAAGAAAUGCCGACCACAGAUGUAAAUGCUUUAUGUAUACAUGUAUAUAAGUAACAUUAAACACAAUUAUUUCAGUUUAAUUAAAGAAA